CCCCAUCUGUCGCUGCUUCGUGGCCUCCUCGUUUCUCAUCUUGAAGGCUUCUUCUACUCGGGCAUAUCCUUCGGCCCGAGCUAGCAAAUCAGCAAAGUCCCUGGGAUAUUUUUUUUCCAGGAAAAAUAGAAGAUCGUUCUUUUGAAGACCGCCCUUCAGGGUGGCCAUCACGAUCGAUUAGUCCAAGUUUCGGACCUCCAGCAUGGCGACGUUAAAGUGGUUGACGUAGGCUCGGAUGGAUUC
rnacentral:lncRNA from 1 species